CUCCUUAUCUCCCCACGUAAUACUUCUCUCCCAUUAUCUUUAUUUUUAUUUUUAUUUUUAUUGAAUUUUCAGUGUUUUAUCAUGAGAUGCAUACUCCUUAAAUAAUUUGAAAAUAUGCAACUCUCUUUUACUUUCUGCUAUACCUCACUUGAAUUUUCAGUGGGUUUCUUAAAUUUAUUUUAAUUUAUGAACUUUGUCUCCCUUCACUCAAGUGUAUUUAAAAAAAAUAUAGUAUGAUAAUUUAAACGAGUUACUUGUGUUUAGCCUAUGAAUUUGUUUAGCGUUAGAAAUUUUUAGAAACUUUAAAAAAAAUAUGAUUCUUGAUUUUUUUUUGUUUGCAGACAAAGCUCAAGGUCUAUAUCCUUAGGAAAGAAGAAUUGGCAAUUUUACUGUGGAAUUUGAGUGAGUAUCUUUUCUAUUUAUUUCUCAUUCUAAUAGCAACUUUACAAUUAAAUUUUUAUAAUAUAUCAUGUUUAAAUCAAAAUAGCAGUGAGUACACAUUAAAAUUAUAUUUUUUUCCUUUUCACACAGGUACAUUGAAAAAUUGAAUGAAGAGUAAAGUUAUUAGAUAAGUUGGCUACAUUAGCAUAUAAGGAGUAACAAUUUUAUUUUCUUAUUGACGACUAACAUUAUGUACUUCCAUUAGGAUCAUAUAAGAAUCUUUUAUUGAGAUUAUUUCAAUAUUAUUUUAAUUCUAAAAUAUAUAUGAUCAUGAGAGACACUUUUUGUUAUUAUGUUAAAUGUUUUAUUUUAUUGUGUUGAGUUUAUAUUAUUAUAUGAUAUCUGCUAAGUUUAAAAAAUAAAUUUAAUAUUUGUCAUG
rnacentral:lncRNA from 1 species